UACGUAGGUGGCAAGCGUUGUCCGGAUUUAUUGGGCGUAAAGAGCGUGUAGGCGGCCAUGUAGGUCCGUUGUGAAAACUCGAGGCUCAACCUCGAGACGCCGAUGGAAACCAUGUGGCUAGAGUCCGGAAGAGGAGAGUGGAAUUCCUGGUGUAGCGGUGAAAUGCGCAGAUAUCAGGAAGAACACCCGUGGCUAAGGCGGCUCUCUAGUACGGUACUGACGCUGAGACGCGAAAGCGUGGGGGAGCGAACAGG
rnacentral:rRNA from 1 species